rnacentral:tRNA from 1 species
GUUUUAAUAAUUUAAUAUAUACAAAAUAUUGGUCUUGUAAACCAAAUAUGAAUUUUCUUUUCUUAAAACU